rnacentral:rRNA from 1 species
UACGGGGGGGGUAAGCGUUAUUCGGAAUUACUGGGCGUAAAGGGCUCGUAGGCGGCCAACUAAGUCAUACGUGAAAUCCCUCAGCUUAACUGGGGAACUGCGUCUGAUACUGGAUGGCUUGGAUUCGGGAGAGGAAUGCGGAAUUCCAGGUGUAGCGGUGAAAUGCGUAGAUAUCUGGAGGAACACCGGUGGCGAAGGCGGCAUUCUGGACCGACAUUGACGCUGAGGAGCGAAAGCCAGGGGAGAAAACGGG